rnacentral:rRNA from 1 species
GCGCUGGGCGGCGGCUUACACAUGCAGUCGAGCGGAGAGAGGUAGCUUGCUACUGAUCUUAGCGGCGGACGGGUGAGUAAUGCUUAGGAAUCUGCCUAUUAGUGGGGGACAACAUUUCGAAAGGAAUGCUAAUACCGCAUACGUCCUACGGGAGAAAGCAGGGGAUCUUCGGACCUUGCGCUAAUAGAUGAGCCUAAGUCGGAUUAGCUAGUUGGUGGGGUAAAGGCCUACCAAGGCGACGAUCUGUAGCGGGUCUGAGAGGAUGAUCCGCCACACUGGGACUGAGACACGGCCCAGACUCCUACGGGAGGCAGCAGUGGGGAAUAUUGGACAAUGGGCGGAAGCCUGAUCCAGCCAUGCCGCGUGUGUGAAGAAGGCCUUAUGGUUGUAAAGCACUUUAAGCGAGGAGGAGGCUACUUUAGUUAAUACCUAGAGAUAGUGGACGUUACUCGCAGAAUAAGCACCGGCUAACUCUGUGCCAGCAGCCGCGGUAAUACAGAGGGUGCAAGCGUUAAUCGGAUUUACUGGGCGUAAAGCGCGCGUAGGCGGCUAAUUAAGUCAAAUGUGAAAUCCCCGAGCUUAACUUGGGAAUUGCAUUCGAUACUGGUUAGCUAGAGUGUGGGAGAGGAUGGUAGAAUUCCAGGUGUAGCGGUGAAAUGCGUAGAGAUCUGGAGGAAUACCGAUGGCGAAGGCAGCCAUCUGGCCUAACACUGACGCUGAGGUGCGAAAGCAUGGGGAGCAAACAGGAUUAGAUACCCUGGUAGUCCAUGCCGUAAACGAUGUCUACUAGCCGUUGGGGCCUUUGAGGCUUUAGUGGCGCAGCUACGCGAUAAGUAGACCGCCUGGGGAGUACGGUCGCAGACUAAACUCAAUGAAUUGACGGGGGCCCGCACAGCGGUGGAGCAUGUGGUUUAAUUCGAUGCAACGCGAAGAACCUUACCUGGCCUUGACAUAGUAAGAACUUU